rnacentral:rRNA from 1 species
AGGCCACGACUGUUUACUAAAAACACAAUUCAGAGCAAUGAUUAAGAUAAUAGUAUUCUGAAUGAAAUUUGCUCAAUGCCAUUAAUAUAAAGAAAGUCUGGUUAAUAGCGGUCUUAACUAUGAGGAUCCUAAGGUAGCAAAAUAAAUUGGCCAUUAAAUGUGGUCUAGUAUCAAUAAUGUAACGAUGGUCUCACUGUCUCUACAACUUGCUCAGUGAAAUUGAUU